rnacentral:rRNA from 1 species
AUUGAACGCUGGCGGCAUGCCUUACAUAUGCAAGUCGAACGGCAGCACGGGAGCAAUCCUGGUGGCGAGUGGCGAACGGGUGAGUAAAGUAUCGGAACGUGCCCAGUCGUGGGGGAUAACGUAGCGAAAGUUACGCUAAUACCGCAUACGAUCUAUGGAUGAAAGCGGGGGAUCGCAAGACCUCGCGCGAUUGGAGCGGCCGAUAUCAGAUGAGGUAGUUGGUGGGGUAAAGGCUCACCAAGCCGACGAUCUGUAGCUGGUCUGAGAGGAAGACCAGACACACGAGGACUGGAACACGGCCCAGCCUCCUACGGGAGGCAGUAGUGGGGAAUUUUGGACAAUGGGCGCAAGCCUGAUCCAGCCAUGCCGCGUGCAGGAUGAAGGCCUUCGGGUUGUAAACUGCUUUUGUACGGAACGAAAAGGUUUGACUUAAUACGUUGGACUCAUGACGGUACCGUAAGAAUAAGCACCGGCUAACUACGUGCCAGCCGCCGCCGUAA